rnacentral:rRNA from 1 species
AGAGUUUGAUCCUGGCUCAGGACGAACGCUGGCGGCAUGCCUAACACAUGCAAGUCGAACGGAGAUUACUUCGGUAAUCUUAGUGGCGAACGGGUGAGUAACGCGUGGGCAACCUGCCCUCUAGAUGGGGACAACAUCCCGAAAGGGGUGCUAAUACCGAAUGUGACAGCAAUCUCGCAUGAGGAUGCUGUGAAAGAUGGCCUCUAUUUAUAAGCUAUCGCUAGAGGAUGGGCCUGCGUCUGAUUAGCUAGUUGGUGGGGUAACGGCCUACCAAGGCGAUGAUCAGUAGCCGGUCUGAGAGGAUGAACGGCCACAUUGGGACUGAGACACGGCCCAGACUCCUACGGGAGGCAGCAGUGGGGAAUCUUCCGCAAUGGGCGAAAGCCUGACGGAGCAAUGCCGCGUGAGUGAUGAAGGAAUUCGUUCCGUAAAGCUCUUUUGUUUAUGACGAAUGUGCAGGUUGUGAAUAAUGACUUGUAAUGACGGUAGUAAACGAAUAAGCCACGGCUAACUACGUGCCAGCAGCCGCGGUAAUACGUAGGUGGCGAGCGUUGUUCGGAUUUAUUGGGCGUAAAGGGUCUGUAGGAGGUUUGUUAAAUACGGGGUGAAAUCCGGGAGCUCAACUCCCGAACUGCCCUGUAGACUGACAGACUGGAGUACCGGAGAGGUAAGCGGAAUACCAAGUGUAGCGGUGGAAUGCGUAGAUAUUUGGUAGAACACCAAGAGCGAAGGCAGCUUACUGGCCGGCAACUGACUCUGAAAGACGAAAGCAUGGGGAGCAAACAGGAUUAGAUACCCUGGUAGUCCAUGCCGUAAACGUUGUCAACUUGAUGUGGGUGGAUUUAGUCCUAUCCGUAUCGAAGCCAACGCGAUAAGUUGACCGCCUGGGGACUACGGCCGCAAGGCUAAAACUCAAAGGAAUUGACGGGGGCCCGCACAAGCGGUGGAGCAUGUGGCUUAAUUCGAAGCAACGCGAAGAACCUUACCUGGGCUUGAAAUAUAC